GAUGAACGCUGGCGGCGUGCUUAACACAUGCAAGUCGAACGGUGAAGGGGAGCUUGCUUCCUGGAUCAGUGGCGAACGGGUGAGUAACACGUGAGCAACCUGCCCCGGACUCUGGGAUAAGCGCUGGAAACGGCGUCUAAUACUGGAUACGAGACACCUCCGCAUGGGGAGUGUUUGGAAAGAUUUUUCGGUCUGGGAUGGGCUCGCGGCCUAUCAGCUUGUUGGUGAGGUAAUGGCUCACCAAGGCGUCGACGGGUAGCCGGCCUGAGAGGGUGACCGGCCACACUGGGACUGAGACACGGCCCAGACUCCUACGGGAGGCAGCAGUGGGGAAUAUUGCACAAUGGGCGGAAGCCUGAUGCAGCAACGCCGCGUGAGGGACGACGGCCUUCGGGUUGUAAACCUCUUUUAGCAAGGAAGAAGCGAGAGUGACGGUACUUGCAGAAAAAGCGCCGGCUAACUACGUGCCAGCCGCCGCAGUAA
rnacentral:rRNA from 1 species